UGGGGAAUAUUGCGCAAUGGGGGAAACCCUGACGCAGCGACGCCGCGUGAGCGAAGAAGGCCUUAGGGUUGUAAAGCUCUGUUUUAAGGGACGAAUGUCGUGGGGAGUAAUAUGCUCUGCGAAUGACGGUACCUUAAGAGGAAGCCCCGGCUAACUACGUGCCAGCAGCCGCGGUAAGACGUAGGGGGCGAGCGUUGUCCGGAAUUACUGGGCGUAAAGAGCACGUAGGCGGGAACUUAAGUCUGGUGUGAAAGACCGGGGCUCAACUCAGGGGUUGCACUUGAAACUGGGUUUCUUGAGGGCAGGAGAGGAAAGCAGAAUUCCUGGUGUAGCGGUGAAAUGCGUAGAAAUCAGGAGGAAUACCAGUGGCGAAGGCGGCUUUCUGGACUGAACCUGACGCUGAGGUGCGAAAGCGUGGGUAGCAAACAG
rnacentral:rRNA from 1 species